rnacentral:tRNA from 1 species
GCACUAGUAGCUCAGAGUCAGAGCUCCGGUC